UAAGACGAACCGUCCAAACGUUAUUCGGAAUUAUUGGGCUUAAAGGGUGCGUAGGCUGUGCAGUAAGUUGGGUGUGAAAUCCCUCGGCUCAACCGAGGAACUGCGCCGAAUACUGCUGUGCUAGAGGAAGAUAGGGGUAAGCGGAACUGAUGGUGGAGCGGUGAAAUGCGUUGAUAUCAUCAGGAACACCGGUGGCGAAGGCGGCUUACUGGAUCUUUUCUGACGCUGAUGCACGAAAGCUAGGGGAGCGAACGGGAUUAGAUACCCCGGUAGUCCUAGCUGUAAACGAUGAGCACUUGGUCGGAGGCUCCUCCAUAGGCUUCUGGCCGUAGCGAAAGUGUUAAGUGCUCCGCCUGGGGAGUAUGGUCGCAAGGCUG
rnacentral:rRNA from 1 species